CUCCCUGUUCCAGGAAUAACAUGAGUGCCGGGACAAUGCAUCUUUAUUAUGAGAGGAAUGAGAAUUGUGUAUCUUGACAUUUGACAGGAGCUUGCUUUCCCCCAGGCUGUUUGAGGAAGGGCAGAGGAAAAUGUGGUGCCCUAAGAAGGAAGGACAGAGGAGGCCGAACACUGGCGGGUGGAAUCCCACUGAUUAGUAGUGCAGGUCAGAGACCUGGGAUGGGGGGCAUUGCCGUCAUGGAAGCCACAGCGGGGAGCGGGUAAAGCAGACAGGGAUGGUCCCUGAUGGUGACAACUCGCAAGAGGUUAAGGGGAAAGAAAAACUGAAAAGCUUAUUCAAUUUGGCAAUUAUGGCAGUGUUUAUCUUCAGAAGAGCAGUUUUAGGGUGGGGUUUCCAAAGAUGGGAUUGGACAUAUAUUUUGAAUCAUUAAGCUUGAGGUCUUUCAAAGGCCUGGCCAAGGGUUGCUGGGUGGAGACCACAUUCAGAGGUAAAGGCAGAAAUUGGGGGCCCUUAAGUAGACAGCGAGGGAGGAAGAAAUGAAGGGGCCUGGUGAUGGUUAGGGUGAAGUGUUAAGACUGAGAAAACAAGGACAUGUGAGAAGACGAGGGAAGAGCAUUGGAGAGAACAAAGACACUGGAGGAGAUGCUACUUGGAGGUCCCCAGAGAGCAGGGAGACAAAUGAACCCAGAACACAAAUGGCAAAGAAGAAAAAUGAGAGAAUUUGUAAAAGACAGCAUUCGAACAUGCCGAACAAGAGCAGGGUACUGGUGUUCAAACACCUGUAUCUCCCCCGUGUAACCCGUCAACUAAUAUCUUUCCAUAUUUGCUCCAGAUUUGUCUUUAGAAAUAAAACCCACGUUCUGAAGUCCUGUUUGUAUGUGGCCCCAGUCCUGUUGCCUCCGCCUCCUGUCCUGAAGUCGAUUUCUGCCCUUCUCAUCUAUGCUGUGCUGCAGUGAGCAUCCCAUCACAUUGUGUGGAUUUGAGGAAGUAUUGGAAUUCCCCCAAUUGACUGGACAUUCCCAAUUACCCUCCAAGUGUCCCAGCACUGUUUACUGAACAGUCUCUCCUUUCUCGCUGGUCUGUAGAACUCUCCUGACAUAUACCAAGUUUCCAUAAGUGGGUGGAUGGGUUCCUGAGCUCUCUACUGUUAAUAGAACUUGCUCUCUCGCAGGCCAAUGCCUCACCAGGUGAUUGAAGCAGAGAAACUUAGGUGGUGAAAGGAGAAGAUGGGGCCUGUCCUGAGAGUUUCUGUUCCUGAGAUGCUAGAGGCAGAGGGUCCCUAAACUUUCCUGAGUCGGCAGACAUCCCCUCUGGAGAAGAGGUUGGCCCCAGAGUCGAACAUCCUCUGAUCUACCUGAUCCUGCUGCCCUUCCAUUCCACUUCCCCACAUCUGUUCUUUCUGGUCGUGUUUACUCCCCUAUUAAAAAAACAAAACCAGAAAACGUGUUUGCCUAGAUCUUGAGACUCUGGAAGAUCUUAACAGUCAGAGGUUCCCCCUAUUUGCAAUGAUCUCCUUUCCUGCCCCUUCCUAUCCUUGCAAUAAUCCUUUUGAAUAAAGUCUCUCCUUACUAAAUCCAGUUCCUAA
rnacentral:lncRNA from 1 species